rnacentral:lncRNA from 11 species
CUUAGCUCUAAAGAAGAACAUUGCAAACUGACUAGAAAAUCCCUGUUGUUCAGCUCCCGCACUUCCAAAUGGCCUACCACAGACUUUCAGCAUCCCAGAAGCCCCUUGAGAAAAUACUGCAAGUCGCUUCUGUGAAAGAAUUGGGCGUCUACAGAGACGUUGCCCCGG